rnacentral:rRNA from 1 species
AUUGAACGCUGGCGGCAUGCUUUACACAUGCAAGUCGAACGGCAGCGCGGGCUUCGGCCUGGCGGCGAGUGGCGAACGGGUGAGUAAUAUAUCGGAACGUACCCAAGAGUGGGGGAUAACGUAGCGAAAGUUACGCUAAUACCGCAUACGAUCUAAGGAUGAAAGCAGGGGACCGCAAGGCCUUGUGCUCCUGGAGCGGCCGAUAUCUGAUUAGCUAGUUGGUGAGGUAAAGGCUCACCAAGGCAACGAUCAGUAGCUGGUCUGAGAGGACGACCAGCCACACUGGAACUGAGACACGGUCCAGACUCCUACGGGAGGCAGCAGUGGGGAAUUUUGGACAAUGGGGGCAACCCUGAUCCAGCAAUGCCGCGUGAGUGAAGAAGGCCUUCGGGUUGUAAAGCUCUUUUGUCAGGGAAGAAAAGGCUGUGGCUAAUAUCCACAGCUGCUGACGGUACCUGAAGAAUAAGCACCGGCUAACUACGUGCCAGCAGCCGCUGUAACAC